rnacentral:rRNA from 1 species
UGCAAGUCGAACGGUAACAGGUCUUCGGACGCUGACGAGUGGCGAACGGGUGAGUAAUACAUCGGAACGUGCCCAGUCGUGGGGGAUAACUACUCGGAAGAGUAGCUAAUACCGCAUACGAUCUGAGGAUGAAAGCGGGGGACCUUCGGGCCUCGCGCGAUUGGAGCGGCCGAUGGCAGAUUAGGUAGUUGGUGGGAUAAAAGCUUACCAAGCCGACGAUCUGUAGCUGGUCUGAGAGGACGACCAGCCACACUGGGACUGAGACACGGCCCAGACUCCUACGGGAGGCAGCAGUGGGGAAUUUUGGACAAUGGGCGAAAGCCUGAUCCAGCAAUGCCGCGUGCAGGAUGAAGGCCUUCGGGUUGUAAACUGCUUUUGUACGGAACGAAAAAGCUUCUCCUAAUACGAGAGGCCCAUGACGGUACCGUAAGAAUAAGCACCGGCUAACUACGUGCCAGCAGCCGCGGUAAUACGUAGGGUGCGAGCGUUAAUCGGAAUUACUGGGCGUAAAGCGUGCGCAGGCGGUUAUGUAAGACAGAUGUGAAAUCCCCGGGCUCAACCUGGGAACUGCAUUUGUGACUGCAUGGCUAGAGUACGGUAGAGGGGGAUGGAAUUCCGCGUGUAGCAGUGAAAUGCGUAGAUAUGCGGAGGAACACCGAUGGCGGAGGCAAUCCCCUGGACCUGUA